rnacentral:rRNA from 1 species
GACGAACGCUGGCGGCGUGCCUAAUACAUGCAAGUUGAGCGCUGAAGGUUGGUACUUGUACCAACUGGAUGAGCAGCGAACGGGUGAGUAACGCGUGGGGAAUCUGCCUUUGAGCGGGGGACAACAUUUGGAAACGAAUGCUAAUACCGCAUAAAAACUUUAAACACAAGUUUUAAGUUUGAAAGAUGCAAUUGCAUCACUCAAAGAUGAUCCCGCGUUGUAUUAGCUAGUUGGUGAGGUAAAGGCUCACCAAGGCGAUGAUACAUAGCCGACCUGAGAGGGUGAUCGGCCACAUUGAGACUGAGACACGGCCCAAACUCCUACGGAGGGCAGCAGUAGGGAAUCUUGGGCAAUGGACGAAAGUCUGACCGAGCAACGCCGAGGGAGUGAAGAAGGUUUUCGGGUCGUAAAACUCGGUUGGUAGAGAAGAACGUUGGUGAGAGUGGAAAGCUCAUCAAGUGACGGUAACUACCCAGAAAGGAACGGCUAACUACGUG